UACAGGGGGGGCAAGCGUUGUUCGGAAUUACUGGGCGUAAAGGGCUCGUAGGCGGCCCACUAAGUCACACGUGAAAUCCCCAGGCUUAACCUGGGAACUGCGUGUGAUACUGGAUGGCUUGAAUCCGGGAGAGGGAUGCGGAAUUCCAGGUGUAGCGGUGAAAUGCGUAGAUAUCUGGAGGAACACCGGUGGCGAAGGCGGCAUCCUGGACCGGUAUUGACGCUGAGGCGCGAAAGCUAGGGGAGCAAACGGG
rnacentral:rRNA from 1 species